CAGAACCUUUAGGAAGUGGAGUCCCGCAAGAAGAAGAGGGUCACUGGGUCAAGCCUGAGGCUUUAUAGCCCAGUCCAUUUCUAGUCCAUUCUGUGUCUGCACUGAGGAUGCAUUGUGACCAGACAUCGUAUGUGCUUGCUGCCAUCCUGUCCCUUCCAGGAGCCGGAUCCCUUCCCUAACAUAAGCACCUAACCACUUGUGACACUGGAGCUCCGCUUCCCAGUGUGUCUAAAUCUGCCAUCACCUACAUGGCCUACCAAAUUCUACCAAUAGAAGCAAGAACUGGGAACCAUGUCUACAAGGGACAGCAGGCAGGGAAGCAGACCACAGUGACACGUCAACUACAUUGUUUACAAGCAAAUGGAUGAAGUAAAAUUGGCUGUGCUCUUUUCCAUUCCAGUGUUUGGACCUGCAACUGCAUCUUUGUUUACUUCCAUUAACCAAUAUAAUUGAUAUGAUCAGGUAUU